rnacentral:lncRNA from 1 species
CCAGAAUACCCCAGAUGGCUGUGGAGAUUUUGAGGUCAAAGGUUGUCUUCCCAAACUAUGAUAGCCUGAAGGAUAAAAUAAGUGGACAACACUUUAAAGCAGUGAUUAUAACUAAUGCCAAUGAAACAUCUUCAUAAUGAAUAAAAUGAUAAACAUCUCAGCAGAGAAUCCUCUAUCUGUAUAGACAAAUAAGACUCCAGAAAAAAGUAAUCAAUAGAAUGUGUAUGUGAAAGAAGAGAAAAAUUGGGAGGAACUGACACGCACAAUUAUGGAGACCGAGAAGUUCCAUGGGCUGCUGUCGUUAAGCUGGGAAUUCAGAAAAGCUGGGGACUUGAUGGUGUAAUUCAGUCUGGGUCCAGAGAUCUGAAAACUAGGGAAGCCAGUGAAGUAGAUCCUAGUUUGAGGGUAGAGAAAAUGAGAUGAGAUAUUUUAGCGCAAACACUAAGGCA